CGCACCUGAGGAAAGGCAGAGUUCCGGUGUGAGUGCACCACAGGGCAGGGAAACUGCUACAAGUAACAGAGCUGAACAAGGAUAAAUCUGGAAGACGAGCUGGAUAAACAAGAGAGGAGGGAAGCUACCAGAGGAAUCAAGCUGACGAAGGAAUAGCAGAAGAAUAGAGGCCAGAGAAGCAAUAAAAAACAGGCAACCGCACUGCAACAUGGACUGCAGACACGGAAGAGAUGUCAUGACUGGGCCAAGUUCGUCACUGGCCACGGCACAGAAACCACCUUUAACUGCCAGGCUCAGAGAACCCAUGCUUGAGGCAACUGCCAUCUCCAGAUCAUACCAACCUCCAUCCUCUU